rnacentral:lncRNA from 1 species
AUUCCUAGCCUCUUGAACUUCAAAUUCGUCCAUCCAUCUUGCUCCAUUCAUAAGCUAUCUAUUUGGUGCCCAAAACUGCCUCAAAAUGCUCCAAAUUGCACUUUCUUGCCAACUUUGUCAUAUGGACCUACAAACACACGAAAAUAGCUUAAAACACUAUAAUAAACAUAAACAAACUAUGAAAAUGCAAGAAAACAAGCUACCUAAGUCGCAUAAAUAUGCUCCUAUCAAAUUCCCCUACACUUAGCUUUUGCUAGUCCUCGAGCAAAACAAAGGAAACAAAACAAACAAAACAGAACCUAAACCUUCCAACGUUUGUCUCAGGGAUUUCCAAUGAAACAUGACACAUUAAAAAUCACUACUUACAUAGAUUUUAGUUAUUCUCACCCUCGAGCACAUACUUAAUCAUAGUCACCAUUUACUAGCUCACAUUUAAUCAAUUAAAACAACAUUUUGAAUAUAGUAACAUGCCUUAGAGAAUUCCCUCAAUUCCUCACAGGAUAUACUCUCUAUUUUCACACAGAUUUUCUAACUACACACCCUACACUAGUUAUAUGUGAGAAGAUUGAUGUAAACAUGUAGACGAACACUCACAUAUAUGUAUAACAAAGAAAGCACUUUCUGGAGUUAUUAAACAUGCUAGAUAUGAUCUCAUGAAUGGAAUGCUACUACUUAGACGCGAGAACCAGUGACACCAUAUGCUCAUACCAAUCCCAAACUCCACAUAUUGAAAUACACAACAACCAAAAUUAAAGUCUAAGGGUUGUAAUGAGGCUGAGGGUAUUGGCUAACAAAAAAAGGUUAAGGAUAAACAAACGUUCUUAAAGCAAUAGUAAGCAAAGCAAUGAAAUCAACUUAGAAUUUACUUUAGAAUGCAGAAAUCAACUUUUAAACACAAGGGAAGAUUCAUGCAACACUUAGGGUCAAAUUCAAGCUUUUUGGACCAUUUCUUCAACAACCAACACUUUAGAGCUUUUCUAACAUAUUUUUCAACUCUUCUUUCAUUCCUUUCACAACUUUUCUUUUUUUUCUUUCUAUUUUCCACAAAUUUUUUUUUCUUUUUCUUUUCUACCUGUGCCUCUUUUAAGACUUUGGCACACACACACACACACAAAUCCCUUCCCCCACACUUGUUUUUCUUCUGCAAUAUGUUUGAUCAAAAGGAAUUCCCUCUAAGUCAUGCUUCACUAUCCAUUAAGAACAAGGGUAUGGAUAGUCCUAUUCUAGGCUAGGUUGGGGUAAUGUGGCUAACAACAAAAAUAGGCUAAAUAAGGCUCAAAAGGGGUUAAACCUACAAAACAAAUGCAUGGGAUGAAGGCUUUUUGGCUCUGGUGGUGACUACUAAACAACUUCAUCUUGUUAUAUGUUAUGCACUCAAUUUUAAAGCUUUGAAUGAAACGGGCAUGAGUUCUAGUAUUUGGAACUAAAGUGAUAAAACGCAUUCUAAGUAGCAACCAAGCAAAGAAUAAUGAGAUCAUGCAACGACUUUAGAAAACAAGAAAUCACAGAUUAAUAACUCUCCAAAUAAAGUUUAGGCUCAAAUCUCUCAGGGUUGUAGCGUUAGUUUAAGUUCCUUCCUUCAAGCAUGUUACAAAAACUGAUUUUUUUUUUUUCCUUUUGUGAUUACAUGUGAAUUCGUAAACGACAACUAAAACCAAGCAUAAACCAAAGAGCAUAUCAAACUUCCACCCAUGUUUGUAACUUUCUUUAACAGUCAUGCAAUUAAAAACCAAAUCCUCAUCAUUGUGUUGGAAGGUACCCUAAGACACAAACACACAAAAACAACUUUAAAACGACUCUUUUUGGGUUUUUCAAAACAUUUUCUAAUUUUUUUUUCAAAUUUUCGUAUUUUCUGUUAAAGACACACUAAAACACUUCAAAACGCACUAAAAACACUCAAAAAAAAUUGAAAAACAAACAUUUGAAAUGUUAGGUGGUAAACUCCUACGAAUUUUGCAACAAAAAAACACUUGUUUACCCCUCCCCCCCACUUAAACCAAACAUUGUCCUCAAUGUUUCAAACAUAGAAUCACACAAAAACAAGCAAAUAACAUAACUAGCAAAUAUGACAAAUAUGGCAAAGUAAAAGCAAUAAAGAGUAGGGUUUAGGAACGCAAAUCUGGUUGUGAUGCCGGAGCUUCCUAGGUCUUCUUUAUUUGCAUGGGUUGCCUCCCAAGAAGCGCUUGCUUUAACGUCUUGCAGCCGGACGAUGCUUCUCUUUACGCUCCCCUAGGUCCCAUAGCAUGAAAUUGAUCCUUGAAUGGAAGGUGAUAUUUGAAAUGAUCCGCCAAAGGUUUCAAUUCUAGAGUGGGUGCCUGAAUCAUUAACAACAUGUAAGUAUAAAACGUAAUGGAAAUCGAAGAAGAUGACUUACUUGCUUUGUCCAACAGGAACUCAAUGACAAACACCACUUCUUGGAAAGUUUCAGGGAUAUUGGACUCGGCCAGAUUGAAUGUGAUGGUUGGGACUUGCCCCGUGUCAUAAAAUUCAACGUCUUUGGGCUUCGUUGUCUCAAAUACGUCCUCUUUGAUGAAUUCUUGAUAUUCUCCAGCCACUACUUUCUCUUGAAUCAUUCUUCUUGGUGUACAAAGUCCCUUGAACAAUUCAACACAAUCUAGAACUUGCUUUGUUGCACCAAGAAUUGGAAUAUCAUUUUGCACCUUUGGAAGAGCUUCCACAAUGUCUUUUUCACUC